rnacentral:rRNA from 1 species
AUUGAACGCUGGCGGCAGGCCUAACACAUGCAAGUCGAGCGGUAGAGAGGUGCUUGCAUCUCUUGAGAGCGGCGGACGGGUGAGUAAUGCCUAGGAAUCUGCCCUAGUGGUGGGGGAUAACGUUCGGAAACGGACGCUAAUACCGCAUACGUCCUACGGGAGAAAGCGGGGGAGUCUUCGGACCUCGCGCCAUUAGAUGAGCCUAGGUCGGAUUAGCUAGUUGGUGAGGUAAUGGCUCACCAAGGCGACGAUCCCUAGCUGGUUUGAGAGGAUGAUCAGCCACACUGGAACUGAGACACGGUCCAGACUCCUACGGGAGG